rnacentral:rRNA from 1 species
AGUGAACGCUGGCGGUAGGCCUAACACAUGCAAGUCGAACGGCAGCACAGUAAGAGCUUGCUCUUACGGGUGGCGAGUGGCGGACGGGUGAGGAAUACAUCGGAAUCUACUUUUUCGUGGGGGAUAACGUAGGGAAACUUACGCUAAUACCGCAUACGACCUACGGGUGAAAGCAGGGGAGCUUCGGACCUUUCGCGAUUGAAUGAGCCGAUGUCGGAUUAGCUAGUUGGCGUGGUAAAGGCCCACCAAGGCGACGAUCCGUAGCUGGUCUGAGAGGAUGAUCAGCCACACUGGAACUGAGACACGGUCCAGACUCCUACGGGAGGCAGCAGUGGGGAAUAUUGGACAAUGGGCGCAAGCCUGACGCAGCAAUGCCGCGUGGGUGAAGAAGGCCUUCGGGUUGUAAAGCUCUUUUGUUGGGAAAGAAAAAAAGCAGGUUAAUCCCCCGAUGUUCUGACGGUACCCAAAGAAUAAGCACCGGCUAACUUCGUG